CAGUAGCUACGGGAAUACGUAGGGUGCAAGCGUUAAUCGGAAUUACUGGGCGUAAAGCGUGCGUAGGCGGCUUCUUAAGUCGGAUGUGAAAUCCCUGAGCUUAACUUAGGAAUUGCAUUCGAUACUGGGAAGCUAGAGUAUGGGAGAGGAUGGUAGAAUUCCAGGUGUAGCGGUGAAAUGCGUAGAGAUCUGGAGGAAUACCGAUGGCGAAGGCAGCCAUCUGGCCUAAUACUGACGCUGAGGUACGAAAGCAUGGGGAGCAAACAGGAUUAGAUACCCCUGUAGUCCCUGUCUCUUAUAC
rnacentral:rRNA from 1 species